rnacentral:rRNA from 1 species
AUGAGGAAUGAAACCUACUCUAUCGUGUCUUGGAAUGUUCGCGGACUAGGUGAUAAGGACAAAUGUGCUAAUGUAUUCUCUAAAAUCAACCAAUUGCGCCCAUCGAUCGCUUUGUUUCAAGAAACUAAGUUACACAAACCGGACACCAUUAAACUACGCUCGAUCUUGCCACGAUUCCUUGAUUCAAAUAACCACCUCGACACGAUUGGUUCUGCGGGCGGUAUUCUCUCUGCCACUAACUCACGUUGCUUUUCACUUCUUAACUGUGACCAUAGACGUUUUACCUCCACCCUAACCCUUUCAUGUCUUGCCACGCAACACAACAUCUUCAUAACCAACGUCUAUGCUCCCUCACAAAGGGAUCUAAAACUAGAAUUUCUAGAAGAGCUCAAACAUAUCGAACCUCCUCCACAAUCCCCAUGGCUUUUCAUCGGCGAUUUCAAUCUAAUCCGCUUCCCUAAUGAAAAGAACAAUAAGAAUUUUCGACGGCCUAAGGCCGAUGCCUUCAAUGACACCAUUGAACAACUUGCGCUGCUCGAACUCCCUCUUCUUGACCGCCAAUUCACGUGGUCAAAUAAGAGGAUGUCCCCCACGCUAAUAAGAAUUGACAGAGUUCUUAUAAACCUCGCCUGGGAUGCGCUCUUCCCCAACUCGCACCUGACCUCCCUCUCUCGAUUCGCCUCCGAUCACGUACCACUCCUGGUUACUGUCUCCACAUCGAUCCCAUCUUCCCGCCUUUUUCGUUUUGAAUGUUACUGGACCUCCUUUCAGGCCUGCAGAACCAUAGUGCAAAACUUUUGGCAGCCCAAUGUAGAAAACAAUAUUGGGCCUGUUGUGGACUCUGCUACUUUUCUUGCUCAAAAACUAAAAAAACUCGCUCAGCCCUCAAAACUUGGGCCAGAUCUCUUAGGCCCAUCUACCAAUGGGAGGCAAAUUGCAAACUUGCAAUUCUGGCUCUCGACUUGA